rnacentral:pre_miRNA from 1 species
AAUAAGUGCAGCCACAAGUUUCCGCGUCCAACUUUAAUCAUCCGUCUUAUUUGAAUUUUUUUAUAAUUAACAUUUUUGUUGUUAUAAGAUGAUAAAACAUAAAUAAUAUUUUACUCAUGACUUAUGUUUUUAUUUUUUUUAAAAUUUUUUCAAAUAAGACGAACAGUCAAAGUUAGACACGGAAAAUCAUGGCUACACUUAUU